AAACAUCAGUUUGAUGUACAAUUAAAGCACAGUAGAAAUUACAAAAUUAAACAUAGCAAAACAAUUAUUUAAAACAUCUUAAAAUGAAACACAAAAUAGUUUUGAUGCCUGGAUUAAACGAUGGCACAAAUGUGUACAAAUUGAUGGUGACUAUGUUGAGCAGAAGUUUUGUGUAGAGGAUAGUUCAGGCUAUGGUCUGUAGUAACUUCUGCUGUUGUAUGUUCAUUCAUAAUGUUUUUAUGACACAGGAAGCCAAACCUUUAGACUCACUCUUGUACAUACACUGUAGAUUAUUGUAUACCUUCAGCAGGACCCACUGUUUUUGGUUGUUUGACUUCUGAAGCACCAUGCACAUUGAUGGCACUAUAUAAAUGAUAAUUAUUGUGAUGAUCUGCACUCUGAUACAUUUUUAGUAGCUGAGAAGGUGGAGCUGUGCCCAAUGAUUGCCUGUUUAGCUUGGAGUUAGAUAGUCCCUAUAGUUUUCCUCUUCAAUAUGUAUGUAUAUUUAUGUAUUUGGCCCUUUUGCUUCUUUCUUACCUGUUAGGCCAUUUCCUUCUGAAGAAGUAAUUUAACAAGAACUCUUAAUAACCCUGUCUGUGUUCACUUUUCAAAGCUAAAUUAUUCCAACUCUUUCAACUGUUCCUCUUGGACUUGGUUUCCAUGCUCCUUUCUGUUCUGACACUCCUUUUUAUUUUCCUUCUUAUGCUUACUUAUUGAAAGGCUUGCUAAUCAGCAUUAUGCAAUGGUGAGAUAAAUACACUUUUUAUAAAUAAUAAUAAUUUAAGUAUGGAUGGGAUUGCUAUGGAACUGGGAUUUACUUUUGUGCAGAAGAAAUACACUACGGUCUCUGUUUUGUGACAGAAUGUUACAAUCUAAAACUGGCUGUAAUCAUUCAAAUCCUUAUUUAAAAUAACUCUUUGUUGUAUUUCGGCUUUGUCCAUUUGUAAUACAGACGUUUAUUUUUAGGGUGGAUACUUAAAUUAUUGCUUCUUUUCAGCCAAUCAACAUCCUUUGAUAUUUUCCUGAUUGAAUUUUGGAAAUUGUAAAGGAGCGACUUGGGGAACUGCAAGUCACUUCUGGUGUGAGAGAAUUGGCCAUCUGCAAAGACAUUGUCCAGGGAACACCUGGAUUUUUUUAAAUGUUUUUACCAUCGUUGUGGGAGGCUGGAGCUGGUAGAGAGAGCUCAUCCAUGGUCUCCCCAGGUUGGAUUCAAACCGGCAACCUUCAAGUCAGCAACCCAGCCUUCAAGUCAUCAGUCCUGCCAGCACAUUGUGCCACCAGGUUAAGUAGCUAAUAAUUUGAAACUAGUCUUUCUCAAUCUUUGAUUUAAUUGAUUAACUAGUUGCAAAUUAUUAACUAAUUACUGUUAACUAAUUUCCCAAAAUUCUGUUAGUGUCUUGUUGUUCUUGUUCUUCAAGUCACUUCCAACUUAUGGUGAUGCUAACGUGAACCUAAAACACUAGUCUUGCUCAGAGGAACCAAGGUUGCCUUUGUCUUCUUCCAAGGCUGAGAAAGAAUGUGACUUGCCCAAGCUCAUCCAGUAGGUUUCAGUGGUCUCCAAGUGCACAUCUAUGCAGGCCAAAGAGGCCUGGGUUGAUCCAGAAUGGAGUGCUUUGAGUCAGCCCUCCAGGCGUCCACACAGCCCACCUUUGUGCCACUGCAGCAGCGGAAGGAUGUCUGAACUGGCCGGUACUGCCCCACUACAUAGCCCCUUUUACUUUGUUGUUUUGUCAUAUCACUGUCAUAGCAAUGACCAAAGGGGAAUUAAAAACCAUUAAAAAUAGAGAAGACCCAUAAGUGCAUAAUAAAAAUAAUGUUCUGAUGCAAUUCACAACUGUAGUUACAAAUGUGAAACAGAAUUACACAUUUAUAACUGAUUCAUGUUUACAGCCCCUACAUAUUCAAUAGGGUAGUGUCUUCCAAGGACUUCAGCUCCCAGGAUCCCUGAUUAUUAGCCAAGGCAGCUGAGACUUCUGGGAAGUGCUAUCCAAAAUAUUUAGAGGAGUAGAGUUUGGUAAUCAGUCAUGUAAAGAAAAUGUAGGGGUCGUAAAAGUCCCCAAUCCUAACUUAAAAGACAUCACACUUAUGAGCAAUGAGGAUCUCUUCCCUCAUCAAUUAAGACACAAAGAACCAGCUUUUCCAACUGCCUUUCAUGGUGACCUCCAGUGUGAGUUGCAACAGAGAUCCUCUUUCUGAUAGUCCAGUGGUUCUCAACCUGUGGGUCCCCAGAUGUUUUGGCCUUCAACUCCAUAAAUCCUAACAGCUGGUAAACUGGCUGGGAUUUCUGGGGAUUAUAGCCAAAACACCUGGGGACCCACAGGUUGAGAACCACUGUGAUAGUCACACAAGACUUUGCUUACAGGAGGGGGUGAAAAAGUCAGUCUGCUGCAUGAAAUGUGACAGGAGAACUGACCCCUAUUGCUUGUAGCAGCUGCUGCCCAGUAAAUAAUUUCAAAUAAAAAUUAUACUACAAAUACAUCAAAUUGAGGUGUCAGACCAGGAGAUGCUAACUGGUAUAAAAUCUUGGUCAUUAUUAUCUAGUUUAGUCCCUGCAAUUCACACCCUUCCUUUUGCCCAGCAAAUUGUUUGAGAGGUUCAGCUCAAGAAGCUUCUUAAGUUAAAUUUCAAAGAGAUAUAUAAAGCACCAAAAGCAGUGUAACCUUUGAGAGCAUAUAAAAGCCAGAAAAUGUUGGGCUUUUUAUUAAUAAAUGAUACAUCCACUGAUUAUAUUGAGUACUCCCCAGCUUUUAUUUCCUAAACAAUCAAUGCACAACUCUACAUGUAACCUUUUGUGCUUUGCACUUCAAAUGUAACAUCUUGAUCAUUGCUUUUUAGAUGUAAGCUUCUAACUGGAGCGAAUUACAGGGCGCAUUCAACGGCUCUGUUUAAGGAGCUCCACUGGCUGCCGUUUACUUUCUGGGCCCAAUUCAAGGUGCAGGUUAUCACCUACAAAGCCCUAAAUGGUUUGGGACCCACCUACCUUAGAGAUCGCAUCUCCCCCUACGAACCCGCAUGUUCUCUUCGCUCGUCGGGGGAGGCCCUUCUCUCGCUCCCACCACCCUCACAGUCGCGGUUGGUGGGGACGAGAGAGAGGGCCUUCUCCGUCGUGGCCCCCCGGCUUUGGAACUCUCUUCCUAGAGAGAUCAGGCAGGCCCCUACCCUCCUCUCCUUUCGUAGGAGUUUAAAAACCUGGCUCUUCCAGAAGGCCUUUGACACCUAAUUAGAUGUUGGACUGAUCCAUCUGCCCAUUUGAUAAUAGCCCCCUUUUCUGAGAUGUUGCCAAUGCUAUUUUGCACUUUAUUGUCAAUUGCACAUUCUGUUCUGGAUUUUAUGAAUUAGUCUCCUGUUUUAAUAUUGUAUGUUUUUUGUAUGCUUUUUGCUGAUUUUAACGAUUGUUUUAUUGCUAUUGAUGUUUUACUGAUAUAAUUGUUUUAUAGUCGUGUUAUUGAUAUUGAUUGUCUUAUUGGGCUAGGCCCCAUGUAAGCCGCCCCGAGUCCCUUCGGGGAGAUGGGGCGGGGUAUAAAAAUAAAGUUAUUAUUAUUAUUA